GAUGAACGCUGGCGGCGUGCCUAAUACAUGCAAGUCGAGCGAACAGACUAGUAGCUUGCUCCUCUGACGUUAGCGGCAGGCGGGUGAAUAACGCGUGGAUAACCUCCCUAUCAGACUGGGAUAACUUCGGGAAUCCGGCGCUAAUACCGGAUAAUAUAUUGAACCGCGGGGUUCAAUAGUGAAAUUCGGGUUUGCUGUCACUUAUAGAUGUAUCCGCGCCGUAUUAGCUAGUUGGUAAGGUAACGGCUUACCAAGGCAACGAUGCGUAGCCGACCUGGGAGGGGGAUAGGCGACAUUGGAACGGAGACAGGGUCAAGACUCCUACGGGAGGCAGCAGUAGCGAACGUGAGGCAAUGGGCGAAAGCUUGACGGAGCAACGGCGCGCGUGAGACGAAGGCCUUCGGAGCGGAAAACCCUGCUACGAGGGAUGAACAACUGUCGAAGUAAACAUGGAUGUUUUGACGGUACCUUAUCAGAAAGCCCCGGCUAACUACGUG
rnacentral:rRNA from 1 species